UACGGAGGGUGCAAGCAUUAAUCGGAUUUAUUGGGCGUAAAGGGCGUGUAGGCGGAAGGGGAAGUCAGAUGUGAAAUCCCGGGGCUCAACCUCGGAACAGCAUUUGAAACUCCCUAUCUUGAGGGUAGGCGGAGAAAACGGAAUUCCACAUGUAGCGGUGAAAUGCGUAGAUAUGUGGAGGAACACCGGUGGCGAAGGCGGUUUUCUAGCUUAUACCUGACGCUGAGGCGCGAAAGCAAGGGGAGCAAACAGG
rnacentral:rRNA from 1 species